GUGAAAUUUGGGUAUGCCUGUGUUGAGAGAAGCUCCUCAGUUUGUUUGGAAUGAAGAAAUCCCUAUAUCCCUGGUACCAUUCCAUAGUAACCCCAGGGAAAGAAAGAAGUUCAGAAGUUGCAACAAGGCACGGAGAUUAGGAUAGCUGACAAAAUAGAGCAAGAACAUAAAAAGGGCAUAUACAGCGUGAAGAGAGAGCACAGUAUCAAAAUGAAGGUACUGUGAAUAAAGUAAUCCAAUCUGUGCCAGAACAGAAGUAAGCCUGAUCAGGGACACAUCAGAAACAAGAUUUGGCUGUAAAAUUGAACAAAGCUCCUGAGAGCUCAGAAUUUCUUCAUGAAGAUUCGUGUUUCUGUCUGAAUUUAUAUUCCUUCUGCCUAAGGAAAUGAAUAAUAAAGAAGUUUAUCCAAAUAGCUCUUCUCAAAAGCAAAAGGGAAAGAAGAACAAGAAAAAAAUGAAAGAUGAAAAGUUGUGUGUUUUCCUGAGCCAGAAGGAUCCCAGAGAGAACCAUGGCCUGGAGUGUCCCUGGGAGGCUGAUUGCAAAGGUGUCUUGGAGCAGGGACUUUCUGCAUGCUCAGCGGUGUGGUUAGGCAGUGGAAAGCCGAGGCUUCUCUGUGUCUGCCACUCAACCCGCCUAUUUACUUCAAACUUAUGCUGUCCAGAGGACUGUUAUUUACAUUAGUUUGGGCCCAGAGGGAUUUGAUUCUUUUCUUUCAUUAUUCAUAAAGUAAAAGCCUUGAGCCACAGUUUAAAGAUUUUACCACUCAUAAAAUGAUGCUUAUGUGAAUGAUGUAGAAGACACAUAUAAUCAAUGUCUACCUGUACAAAUGCUGUGAAUAUACUUUAAUGCUUAAUGUGAACAUGUUGGAAAAUACAUCUUAAAGUACAUUCUGUUGUUUUAAAACUAUUCCUUAGCUAUUGUUAAAAAUGAAUCUUCCUGCCCCUCUCCCUUUCCAUAUUGAGUACCAAACGUAAUUUGGAGAGAAGAAACAUGAAGAAUUAUUACAUUUUUAUGUAAAUAUGAUACAUUUUAAUUGGAAAAAAUAACCAACCAAACAAAAGAAAUUCUCAUAUUUCAAAAAUAAAAGUAAGUUUAUUGGAGUUUUUAGAAAGUUCCUGUGGGUAAAAUUUUCCAUUGAAUAAUAUAAAAUGAAAAUCUGACCUAUGUACCUACAUCCUAUUAUAUCUUUACCCUGACAUUUCACUAUUUAUAUUGCUUUUGCAGUUGGAACUAUUGAGCAAACAUUGCUGACAUUGCAGAGUUUAUCUGUGUAUGACAUUCAUUAUCGCACCCCAACUUGGUCUCCUUUGCUUCAAUAAUGAAGUUUGCUGUGGUCAGUGGAAACAGCUUGAUUGGUUUAUAGAUGUUCAAAACAAGUUCUGUAUGUAGCCUGGAAAAUGUUAUUGGGAAAUUGCUCUGGACCAGAUAGGAAUAUACCAGUUUAAACUACUAGGAUAAAAACACCAUUUUUUUAAUUAAAAAAUGGAGAUUACGAUUGAUGAGACUAUUCUCAGCCAAAAGAAGAGAAGAAGAAAAAGAAGAUGAAGGAAAAAGCAAGAGGGAAAAAAAGGUAACAGUAAUAAUUAAAUUUAAUUUACCAUAACCAGCCUGAAAAAAAUUCUUAUCAAGUAUAAAUCUGUAUUUGUCCCAGUGUAAGAACUACCUCCUCCACACAAAACACACUCAGCUACCCUGCUUUUCAAUGAUAUCUUUUCUCUUCUGAAUUCCUCUAGAGUAAUGAUUCUUAAAAUGUAGUCCUCAGAUUGGCAAUAUAAGCAUCAUCUGGGAAAUUUUUAGAAAUGAAAAUUCUUAGACUCCACCUUAGACUUAGUCAGAUACCCUGAGUGGGCCGCAUAAUCUGUGUUCUAACAAAUCCCUAAUUGAUUCUACUGCAUACUCAAGUUUGAGGACCACUGCUAUAAGACAAUGCACCUAUACAAAUAAAUA